AACGAACGCUGGCGGCAUGCCUUACACAUGCAAGUCGAACGCGAAAGCACUUUCGGGUGUUAGUAGAGUGGCAAACGGGUGAGUAACGCGUGGGCAUAUAACUUCAUGUGCGGAAUAGCCUCGGGAAACUGGGAUUAAUACCGCAUGAUGUCUUCGGACCAAAGAUAUAUCGCCUGAAGAUUAGCCCGCGUCAGAGUAGCUAGUUGGUGGGGUAAUAGCCUACCAAGGCAACGAUCUGUAGCUGGUCUGAGAGGACGAUCAGACACAUUGGGACUGAGACACGGACCAAACUCCUACGGGAGGCAGCAGUGGGGAAUAUUGGACAAUGGACGAAAGUCUGAUCCAGCAAUGCCGCGUGAAUGACGAAGGCCUUAGGGUUGUAAAGUUCUUUAAGUGGGGAUGAUAAUGACGGUACCCACAGAAUAAGCACCGGCUAACUUCGUGCCAGCAGCCGCCGUAA
rnacentral:rRNA from 1 species